rnacentral:piRNA from 1 species
UAGAAAGAGGCGUUACCUCAUGGCCUAAGA